rnacentral:rRNA from 1 species
GACGAACGCUGGCGGCGUGCUUAACACAUGCAAGUCGAACGAUGAAGAAGAGAAACGCGAACUUCGGUUCAAAUUUCACUUCGGAUUAGUGGCAGACGGGUGAGUAACGCGUGAGCAACCUACCUCUUACAAAGGGAUAGCCUCGGGAAACCGUGAUUAAUACCAUAUGACACAUUCAUAAGGCAUCUUAAGAAUGUUAAAGCUACGGCGGUAAGAGAUGGGCUCGCGUCCCAUUAGCUAGUUGGUGAGGUAACGGCCCACCAAGGCGACGAUGGGUAACCGGCCUGAGAGGGUGAACGGUCACAUUGGAACUGAGACACGGUCCAAACUCCUACGGGAGGCAGCAGUGGGGAAUAUUGCACAAUGGAGGGAACUCUGAUGCAGCGACGCCGCGUGGGCGAUGAAGGAAUUCGUUUCGUAAAGCUCUGUUCUAUGGGAAGAAAAGGACUGUACCAUAGGAGAAAGCCCCGGCUAAAUACGUA